rfam:Pseudomonas alcaligenes NBRC 14159 DNA, contig: PA6028.
UUGCGCAAGUCAUGUUUGAUUGAGCAAUAUUAGCAAUAAUUUGGUGCCCCGGCCUCGAUAAGCUUUCCCUCAGUUUCAUGGCCCGGACGACAUGUCCAACCGCGCUGCCCAAUCAGGCGCCGCGGCGCCGGCGAUCCUACCGGGUCGCGCAGGCUCCCGGGUCCGCACCGCCCAACCAGGCGGGCGAGGAAAGCGGUGACACGAUCGCCAGUGCCGGACACGAAAAAGGGGAGGCCUAGUGCCUCCCC